AUAUAUCCAGUUAUCUGGUCAUUUACUCUAUAAUAUAACUUGUGUUUAUAAUAUAACUUAGUAUUUAUAUACUAUAGUUGUUUAUAAAACAUCAUCUGAAAAGUUGACUACGUAUUCAUAUACUGUAGUAAACUUCAAGAGCAAAAGGCAAGUCCAAUAUAUAUAAUAUUAUAAGAUAUAAUAUUAUAUUCUUUGAAAUCAUAUAAUAGUAUUGUAUUGCUAACAAUAUUAUACUAUUAUUAUUAUACAACCAUUUGUGUACUUAAGUGUGUGCAGGUAAUUCCGCUAUUAACUUGCAUAAAUUGAAAAGAGACUAUUAUCCCCCCUUAUAUCCUCGGAUCUCGAUCCAACAAAUGGUAUCAGAGCCAAGUACCGUUGAAGUUUGACUAACAUCUUACAACAACAACUAUGGCACCAAAUGGUGAAUUCAACACUGGUCUUGCGUCAAACAAACCUCCCAGGUUCGAUGGAGUAAAGUAUGACUUCUGGAAGAACAAGAUGAAGUUAUACUUGAAGUCAAUCAACAAUGGAGUAUGGAAGAUCAUAUUAGAGGAUAAUGAAAUUCCAACAAGCAAUGAAGAGACUUGGGGAGAAAUGGACAUCCUCAAGGAAAAUAACAACUCAAGAGCAUUGAAUGCUCUAUAUGGAGCACUCAAUGAAUCUGAGUACAACAGAAUUCGAUGCUUGGAUACAACUUAUAAGGUAUGAAAAGCAUUGGAGGAUCUACAUGAAGGAACCUCCCAUGUUAAAGAAAACAAGCUGUUACAUGCUACCUCUCAGUUCGAAAGAUUCUCUAUGAAGGAAGACGAGACUAUCACAGAGAUGAACAUUAGACUAUCACAAAUAGUUAAUGAUCUGGUUGGACUAGGAGAUCCAGUAACUGAGAAGAAGCAAGUAAGCAAAAUUUUGAGGAGCCUUCCAAACAAGUACUACUCCAAAAGGAAUGCUAUCCAAGAGACUCAUGAUCUCAACAAACUUACAGUUGUGGAACUCUGUGGAAAUCUGAUGGCUUAUGAAGAAGAAAGAUUCAUCUCUAGAGCUAGAGAAGAGAAAAAGGAUAUUGCUCUUAAAAGUCAAUCUGACAAUGAAACAUCAGAAGAUGAUCCAGCAAUGAUCACCAAUCAUCUGAGAAGAAAGACUCAAGGUCAAGUCAUCAGAAGUUCGACAGAAGAAUGAGCAAGGAGUCAAAAGAACCAUUAAUCUGUUAUCUAUGCGACAAGUCUGGACAUAUCAAACCAGAAUGUCCUCUGCUAAAGAAAGAAAGAGCAAAUCAGGCACAAUGGACAGACUCCGACUCGGAUCAAGAAGAUUGUCUCAUGGCUCAUGAAAGCAACUCUGAGGUAAGUUUUGCAAAUACUAGAUUUAAUUCUUUAGAAGAAGCAUAUCUAGAAUUAAUGGAAAAAUAUAAAAAUGAGAAAAAAUUAACUAAGUCAUUAAAACUAGAAUGCAUGAAUAAAUCACAUAUAGAUCAAUCUAUUGAAUUAGAAGAAUCGCAAAAAGAAUGCAUGCAAUUGAAAGAAAGAAAUCUAAAACUCACAAGUAAAUUAAACAAAGAUGAAGAAAAAAUUAAGAUACUUAAGAGUCAAAACUUUGAAUUGCUUAACAUUUUAGAAUCUGAAGAAAAUAAACCUAAGGAAAUGGAUGAUGAUAAGAUUGAAUUGCUAGAAUUAAAAAUAGAUAAUUUUAAAGAAGAUAUUAUGUUAAAAGAAAAAGAAACAAUCAUGCUCAAAACAUAAAUAGAAUCUAAGGACAAAAUUAUACUUGAGCAUGUAGAAACCAUACAAAAAUUAUCUGAAAAAUGUAAUGAUAUGCAAUUACGAAUCAAAAGAAAAGGUCAGAAGAAUAAUAUUCUUGAAAAAAUCUCAAAUAUUUCAUCUAAGCUAAAUGACAUGUUGCAAGGUUCAAGCUCAGGUCAAAAGAAAUUUGGCUUAGGGUUUGAAUCAAAUGCACCUAUUAAAAAACCUUUACAUGCUUUAACUAUAAUGAGUAUUUUGUAAGAGAAUCUAGCUACAGAAAACCUAUUCAUCUUAAGAAAAAGAAAGAUCUAUCUAAGAUGAAUCAUCCAAAACAAAAAUGGAUGACCUAGGAUGAGUUAAAAAAUUAUAAGCAAAUCAACUAUGUUAAUUCAUCUGGACCCAACUCAGUAUGGGUACCAAAAGGUUAUUCAACUCUUUCAGGAAAAACAUGUGUCAAAAUGGCUGUUCGACAGUGGAUGCACAAGGCACAUGACUGGAGAUUCAAGUCUGCUGACAGACUUGACCGACUGGCCUACUACUAAGAAGGUCAAGUUAGCCGAUAACAACGAAGGUACCAUUAUAGGUAGGGGUAAUAUAGGUAAUAUAGAUAGACCAUUUCUUAGAGAUGUUUACUUAGUUAAUGGCCUUAAACAUAAUCUUAUCAAUAUAAGCCAAUUAUGUGAUAAUGAUUGCACAGUUAAAUUUGAAAAGCAUCUAUGCUCAAUCAUUAACUCCAAGGGAGUUAUAAUUAUUGCUAAAGGAUAUAGGAAAAACAAUGCUUAUUCCAUAACCUUUAAUCCCUCCAAGCCAACUCAUGACUUCUGCAUGAUUGCAGCAAGUGAUGAAAAGACUUUAUGGCAUAGAAGGUUAGGUCACACCAGUUCUUCUCGAUUAUCCAAACUAUCAAAAGAAGAACUGGUGACUGGACUGCCUAAAAUAGCAUAUGAGAAAAGUAAUCUCUGUGAUGCUUGUCAAAAAGGGAAACAGCAUAAAAGCUCAUUCAAAUCCCUUACAGAUAUUACUACGUCCAGACCUUUGGAACUUCUACACAUGGACUUAUUUGGGCCAACCCAAACCCAAAGUCUUGGCGGAAAAAGGUUUACGUAUAUAAUAGUAGAUGAUUACUCAAGAUUUGCUUGGGUUUUCUUCUUACGAAAUAAAAGUGACUCAUUCAACGAGUUCUCAUCAUUUUGUACACGUGUACAAAAUAAGAAGGAUGUCCUCAUAAAAAGAAUCAGAAGUGAUCAUGGAGGAGAAUUCGAGAACUCUGAGUUUGAAGAAUUUUGCAAAACUCAUGGAAUAAAACAUGAAUUUGCUUUUCCCCAAGCACCCCCUCAGAAUGGAGUUGUUGAAAGGAAAAACAGAACUCUACAAGAGAUGAGUAGAUCCAUGUUACAAGAACAUGAUUCACCACAGUAUCUCUGGGCAGAAGCUGUUAACACAGUCUGUUAUAUAUUAAACAAGGUGAUUAUUAGAAAAACCUUGAACAAAACUCCAUAUGAGGUCUGGAAUGGAAGAAAGCCAAAAGUUUCAUACUUCAAGGUCUUUGGAUGCAAAUGUUAUGUUCUCCGAACAAGAGGCAACCAAGACAAAUUUGCUCAGAAAUCUGAUGAAGGUAUCCUGGUAGGAUACUCUAAAAGGAGCAAAGCCUACAAAAUUCUUCUCAAAGAAAAACAAAUAAUGAUCGAAUCAUUACACGUUGACUUUGACGAAUCCACUCAGACAACCAUUGUAGAAGAAGAUGAAAUAGUUCCAGAAUCAGAAAUCAUCAUUCCAACUGAAACUACCAAUGUCGAAAUCGAAGUCUUCGAGCCUUCAUCCAACAGGUUGCUCAGGAACCCACAUUCCACUGAUCAAAUCAUUGGUGACCAUCAAGCUGGUGUUAAAACCAGAUCAUCCAUUCAAGGAAACAGUGUUCUUGACUGUUUUGUCUCUCAAAUUGAGCUCAAGAAAGUUGAUGAAGCCCUCGACGACAACUACUGGAUUCAAGCUAUGCAAGAAGAACUCAACCAAUUUGAGAAAAAUGAUGUAUGGGAACUAGUUCCAAAACCAAAAGAUACAUCAAUCAUUGGGACAAGAUGGGUAUUCAGAAAUAAGCUGGAUGAAGAUGGAACUAUAGUCAGAAACAAAGCUAGACUGGUUGCGCAAGGAUACAAUCAACAAGAAGGAAUUGAUUAUGAUGAAACCUUUGCACCAGUAGCUAGACUAGAAUCUAUCAGAAUGCUCCUAUCUUUUGCAUGCUACAAGGAUUUCAAAUUAUAUCAAAUGGAUGUAAAAAGUGCAUUCUUGAAUGGAAUAGUCAAUGAACAAGUAUAUGUUAGACAACCCCCCGGAUUCGAAGAUUACAAAAACCCUGAUCAUGUCCUUAAACUUAAGAAAGCCCUCUAUGUUCUGAAACAAGCACCCCGAGCUUGGUAUGAAAGACUAAGAAACUUUCUCAUUUCUCAGGAAUUUAGAAUAGGAAGUAUAGAUAAUACAUUGUUCAUUAAAAAUGUCAAAAGUGACAUUAUUCUAAUCCAAAUCUAUGUUGAUGACAUUAUAUUUGGAUCAACCGAUGAUACUCUAUGUAAGAAAUUUUCCAAGCAAAUGGAAGACGAAUUUGAAAUGAGUAUUGAUGAAGCACGAAAUCUGCUACUAGUAGGCUCGCGGGGUUGCGAGGAGGGCCGAAGGCUUUGGAGUCCACGACGCGCGCUCUACGUCAAAUACCUGCACAAGUGGAGGGGAGUCGGCGACUCAGGUGUGGGAGUCGGCGACUCGGGCUCCUUUGUUCUCUGGUGUGAAGUGUUGUGAGUCAAGGUGACAUGUGAAUGGAGGACACCCCUAGGACCCCUUUUAUAGGGUCCUGCAGGCGUUUCCAUUCAAUAGAGUGGGGCCCACCCCAUUAUGGUACCCUAUUGAAGGGCGCCAUAAUGGUGUGGGCCCGCCCAAGUAACGGCUGGGAAUCGCCUACUCCUUGUGGGAAUCGCCUACUCAGGUGUGGGAAUCGCCUACUCACGUGGGAAUCGCCUACUCAGGGUGAAUGGGCUAGUCCCCACUGGAAUCAGCUACUCCCCACUGGAAUCGGCUACUCCUCACUGGAAUCGGCUACUCCCAUAUGUUGACUUGAGGACGUUGACGUAGACACUUGCUCCGCACUGUGGAUGCCUUCCGAGGGUCCGGCGUAAAGCGACUGAACCCUAGUCCUUGUUGAGGGGCGUUGCUGGGAGUGAUUGACGUAAUCAGGCAUGUCUCACCAGUACUCCCCCCUGAAGGGAGCACAAGAAACAUGCGUGUAUCGUCAGUAUCCCCCCCCAAGCAAGGUGAUCCGCAUCAAGGCCAAAGCGACAAGAUGGGAUCGAAUCAUUGCGGCCACAGCGACACAAUGACUCCAUUAUCCAUGCACUAUCAGAUGGAUUGAUUCACUAUCAGAAUCUAGUUCCAAGCCAACGGAACUACGUGUUUAUAGUCCAACUUUGAUCAGGAGCGACUUUUGCUGUGUCAUCAUCAAGGCCAAAGCGACAAGAUGAGGGGGAAUUAUUAAGGCCAAAGCGACAAAAUAAUUCUCGUCCAUUAAGGCCAAGCGACAAAAUGGACUGACUCACUAUCAGAGCCAGAUUUUGGCCAAAGCGAUAGAAUCUGUGGAUUCACUAUUAGAAUCAAGUUCACUAUCAGAACUGAUGUUUAUAGUCCACCCUGAUCAAGAGCGACUUUAUAUCCGCAACGACUUCUGGCCAAAGCGACAGAAGUGUCGGGAGAGUUUGUGAUACUCUCCCUCGAAAUGCGACGACUUCUAUCCAAAGCGACAGAAGUGUUGGAAGAGCUUGUCAUACUCCCCUCGAAAUUUGACGACUUCUGGCCGAAGCGACAGAAGUGUCGAGAGAGUUUGUGAUACUCUCCCUCGAAAUGUGACGACUUCUAUCCAAAGUGACAGAAGUGUUGGGAGAGCUUGUGAUACUCCCCCCUCGAAAUGUGACGACUUCUGGCCGAAGCGACAGAAGUGUUGGGAGAGUUUGUGAUGCUCUUCCUCAAAAUUUGACAACUUCUGGCCGAAGCGAUAGAAGUGUCAGGAGAGUUUGUGAUACUCUUUAUUGGAAAUGUGACGGCUUCUGGCCGAAGCGACAGAAGCGUCGGGAGUACUUGUGAUACUCUUUAUUGGAAAUGUGACGGCUUCUGGCCAAAGCGACAGAAGCGUCGGGAGUACUUGUGAUACUCCCCCUCGGAAUGUGACGACUUCUAUCCAGAAGUGUCGGGAGAGUUGGCGAUACUCCCCAUUGAAAAUUUGACGACUUCUGACCGAAGCGACAGAAGUGUCUGGAGUACUUGUGAUACUCCCCCUCAAGAAUCGUGUAAUUGUGACACAUAACUUUAUAUAUUUGACUACCUUUUGUCACUGGGCUACCUUUUGUUUUUUCUUUGCUAAUCUUUCAUAUAAAUUACCCUUAAAAUUGUAACUAAGGCCCGAAACUAGAUUCACAAGUCGUAAUUUAGCCACUCUGGACGUAAAUUAGACUCUGCUAACCCUAUUGCUAGCCACUCUGGGCGUAGACUUGGUCAUACGAAUCGUAGCUCAGCCUACGGUUAAAUUUGCGGAUAAUUUAUAUCUCCAGAUUAACGUAGAGUUGUAAAAGAUAGCGCGAAUGAUAACUCUGAAGGAUGCAAAUAUUUCAGACUCGAGGAUUAUGUCUGUAAUUUCCACUUACAACUUAUGUUUGAACCCUGAUGCCGGAGAGAGCUUGUGAUACUCCCCCUUGAAGUGUUUUGAUAUUUCUGUAAUAUUUUUAGAACUCAAUUUAAUCAAUUAUGUUGCUUUCUUAAUUAAUUGUUUAUUUAAUUUAUUUUUUGAAUUGUAACUAAGACCCGAAACUAGAUUCACAAGUCGUAAUUUAGCCACUCUGGAAGUAAAUUAGACUCUGCUAACCCUAUUGCUAGCCACUCUGGGCGUAAACUUGGUCGUACGAAUCGUAGCUCAGUCUACGGCUAAACUCGUGAAAUAAAUUAAACUUCACAACUAACUUAAGACUCGCAAAGCUAAUUGACGUAAUAAGUUGGAGAUACAAAAAUUACCGGGAAUAGGACUUAGAACUUUUUUGAGAACUUAAGAUUCUAGAUUUCAUUCCCUAAUGUGUAGUUGAGCUCUGGCCGAAGCGACAGAGUAACUUUUGGACCCGCAUCAAGGCCAAAGCGACAAGAUGGGGUAGGAUCGUUAAGGCCAUAGCGACAAAACGAUUUAAAUCUAUUAAGCCAUAGCGAUAAAAUAGAUUUUUGUAUUGUGGGUACUUAGAACCUCUUGGGGUUAGGUUCAUUUGUACUUAUCAACUACCUAAGACUCUACACUUAUACCCUAAUGUAGUUGAACUCUGGCCGAAGCGACAGAGUAACUUUUGGAUCCGCAUAAAGGCCAAAGCGACAAGAUGGGAUGAGAUCAUUAAGGCCAAAGCGACAAAAUGAUCUCCAAGUCUAUCAAGGCCAAAGCGAUAAGAUAGAAGGAUUAUUGAGGCCAAAACGACAAAAUAAUUCUUGGUCCAUUAAGGCCAAAGCGACAAAAUGGACCUUGAUCUAUUAAGGCCAAAGCGACAAAAUAGAUUUCUAAUGUAGGGUACUAGUUAAAGUCGUAGGUAGUGAUUUCGAAAGAGUAUCACAAAAAUAAAAUCUAACUAUUCUAUUUUGUAACUUAUACUAGCAUAGAGACUAAGAGACUACAAUUUAGGACUAUUUUUCUAGACUUGAACCCUGGUGUAUUGGUCAAGCUCCGGCCAUAGCGACAGAGUGACUCACGAUCCUCAUCAAGGCCAUAGCGACAAGACGGGAUAGGAUCAUUAAGGCCAAAGCGACAAAAUGAUUCUUAGUCUAUUAAGGCCAUAGAGACAAAAUAGAUUGAAAACGAGGGUAUCAUUGAUUGUAGUCGUAAAUUUAGAAUCUCGGGGCUAGAUUCGUGAAUGAGAGUCCGAUUUAGAUUCUUAAGUUGCACUUUGGACUCAUAAAUCGUAAAGUAGACUUGUGAUCGUAAUUUAGCCACUCUGGACGUAAAAUGGAUUUUGUAACCAUCACUUAGACUCGCGGGUCGUAAGCUAGGUCUGAGUAACGGGUAUCAUCCAGCCAAAGCGAUGGAUGAUACAUGAGGUUGAAGAGACGGACGUCAUCUAGCCGAAGCGAUGGAUGAUUGAUCCGUCUGAAGCGAUGGAUGAUUAUUCUAAAUACGAUACUGCAUAUAUCUCUAUCGAUUAAAGAGAGAUUUAUUUAGAAUAAUAUCGCUAUUGAGAAUACAUGAGAAUAGUAUGAGCGACAAACAAAAGAAUUAACGUGUUUUUUGGUCGUUGGUUGCCACUGACAGAAGCAUGGCCUGCAUGGUUACUCUGGCCAAUCCUAUCUCUUAACAGGUGAUAGUUCCUCACUACUAGCGUGAGGUACUUGAUUGCGAGUGUGAACUGUGGCUCUGGUUGCCAUCACUGUCAUAGGAUGGAGAGCGUGGGCUAUGGUCAUAACUGUUAUUGGGCCGAGAGUGUGAGCUAUGGCUUUCUUGGCCAUAACUGUUACCAGACUGAGAGUAUGAGUUAUGACUUUGCUGGUCACAACUGCUGAUGAGAAGCUCCUCUCUGUAUCGAGGAGGACUAGUCGAGGUUUCAGACUGGGAACUUGUAUCCUCGUAUGUAUCUUUUUUAGCAUAGCGAGGUUUUUUCUGACUGGGCGGCUCGACGCCGUCCAGCUUAUUAUUGUUCUCCUCUUCUAUCUCAAUGAACGAUUGAGCUCGUUGGAAGAGGUCGAGAAGGGUCUCCACUUUAUGGAGCGUAAGGUUCUGGGCCAAAGGGGAGUAGGGUACUAGCCCAUUUAUGUACCCCGCUAUGGCCAGACUCGGGAUUAGGUCGUUCACUUCUGUCAUCAUCGAAGUGAACUUAAUCGUGUAAUCCCUCAGAGACAGUUUGUUCUGUCGUAAUGCGAGCAGUGCGUUGGCACUGUGUUUUAUUCUGAUCAUCUCCACAUAUUGGGCGAUGAACUUCGAAGAGAGGUCCGCGAAGCUGGAGACCGAGCCAGUUGGUAGACCAGAGAACCACCGAUAAGCGUUGCCUUUUAGAGUGUCGGGGAAUGCCCGACACAACAGUCCGCUAUCGGUGGUCUGCGGUUCCAAGACACUAAGGUAGAGGUUGAUGUGAUCUUUUGGAUCACUCGAACCGUCAUACGCUUCUAUCUUGGGUACCCGCCAGGUUGGUGGAAAAGAUUCUUUCAAAAGGUCCUUGUGAAAAGGAGCGCUUUUGGUUCUCAUGAGCUUGAUCGGAUUGCUGGCGACCGGAUUGUCGGCCAGCUUCCGACGGAGAUCUUCCACGAACUUUGUUGUAAGAGUCUUGUGAGUGUGACUCUUUCUAGGUUCAACCUUUGCCUUAGGAGGUGUUGCAGAUUUCCUCUUUUUCUCCGUAGAUGGAGGAUAGUAAGACCCAGAUUCACCCGCUCCUUCGCGGAUGAUGGUCUUGUUGCCCCUCGCUUUCUCGAGAUUGCUAACUCUUUUUUCUAUGGAAUCCAUAAAGUUAAUCAACCUCUCUUGUAGCGCAGGAGUUAGGUUCACUCCCCCAUUUGAUGGGAGUGAUGAGGGCACCUCAUGUGUCGAAAGUGGUAUAUUAGAGGUUGGUAUAGUACGAGAACCAACCCUCCUACCAGAAGCUUCUACCUCAGUAGUAAUGGCGAGAGCUUUCUUUUUAUGAUCCUUAGUAAAAGGAGCCAUAAAUGGGAUCGUUGCCUCUAUCGGGUCGAAGCAACAGACUACGAGUGGAAGUUCUUCCGAAGUGUCGGAAGCUAUAGGUAGGUACCUGCCCCCCCGGGUGUCACAAAACAGAAAAAAAUUUGUAUAAUAUUUCUUUGUAGUUUUAUGACCCCCUUGAGCAGUAGUACUAGUCCCCAAAGUUUAAAAUUAGCAAAAAAUAUCGAAAAUUUUUGCAAUUUUUCUGCAGAAAAUCGUGCUGCCGGAGGUGGUUUCCGGGAUGCCUGUUUAGACCUAUCCCAGAAAAGAUUCCUUGCACUGUUGGAAAAUUCUGCUCUUUUGUACUCGUAGAGAAAACUUUUUUCACGUGAAGUGUGGUCGUAGAAUUCCAAAAUCAGAUCUAGGUAUUCCGGAGGUCGACCGACAAAAUCACUGGUAGUGAAAAAAGGUAAAAAGACCCAUACUCUUUUUUUUUACCGAAAUGACAGUGCAAAUCCAGCCAAAGCGAUGGAUUUUCGUUUCGGUAAAAGAGCUAGGCUAUGUGUGGUCUUAUUCAGCCGAAGCGAUGAAUGAAGACGAUGACCGAGUCGACAAUUCAAGUGUGGGAAUCGCCUACUCAGUGUGUGGGUCGGCGAUUCAAUUGUGGGAAUCGCUUACUCAGUGUGAUCUUAUUCAGCCGAAGCGAUGAAUGAAGACGAUGAUCGAGUCGACAAUUCAAGUGUGGGAAUCGCCUACUCAGUGUGGGAGUUGGCGAUUCAAUUGUGGGAAUCGCCUACUCAGUGUGGGAAUCGUUGAUUCCCAGGAUAGGUGAUUUUCUAUGAAAAAUCUAACCUAUGUGAAAGUGUAAGUACCAGAGUAAAAGGCAUUGACAACACUUGCUCAAAAAUCUAAAGGAAUCGGCGACACCCUAUGUGGAGUCGGCGAUUCAACUUAUUGUCUUUUUAAACCAAGCCGUGGACAACACUCUUAGCUAGCAGAAUAACCCGGAAUCGGCGACUCACUAGGUGGAGUCGGCGAUUUCCUGUGUGAAUCGGAGAUUCCUUGACACAAAGUUAGCGAUUCACCCUAAGGGAAUCGAGCCGAACUUUGCGAAGAAAAAUUCGCGAUUACGACGGGAUAUCGUAGUUCGAUAGUCCCACAGACGGCGCCAACUGAUUAAGCAUGAAAUCUGCUACCAGUAGGCUCGCGGUGUUGCGAGGAGGACCGGAGGCUUUGGAGUCCACGACGCACGCUCUACGUCAAAUACCUGCACAAGUGGAGGGGAGUCGGCGAUCAGGUGUGGGAGUCGGCGACUCGGGCUCCUUUGUUCUCUGGUGUGGAGUGUUGUGAGUCAAGGGGACAUGUGAAUGGAGGACACCCCUAGGACCCCUUUUAUAGGGUCCCGGAGGCGUUUCCAUUCAAUAGAGUGGGGCCCACCCCAUUAUGAUACCCUAUUGAAGAGCGCCAUAAUGGUGUGGACCAGCCCAAGUAACGGCUGGGAAUCGCCUACUCCUUGUGGGAAUCGCCUACUCAGGUGUGGGAAUCGCCUACUCAGGGGGAAUGGGCUAGUCCCCACUGGAAUCGGCUACUCCCCACUGGAAUCGGCUACUCCCAUAUGUUGACUUGAGGACGUUGACGUAGACACUUGCUCCGCACCGUAGAUGCCUUCUGGGGGUCCGACGUAAAGCGACGGAACCCUAGUCCUUGUUGAGGGGCGUUGCUGGGAGUGACUCACGUAAUCAGGCAUGUCUCACCAAGUAUGAUGGGAGAGUUGACUUUUUUCUUAGGUCUACAAGUCAAACAGAAGGAGAAUGGAAUAUUCCUAAGUCAAGUCAAAUAUGCUAAGGAAUUGAUAAAGAAAUUUGACUUGGCUGAAUCUAAAUCUAUGCCAACUCCGAUAAGUUCAACACUUAAAUUGGACAAAGAUGUUGAAGGUCAAUCAGUAGACAUUAAGAAAUACAGAGGAAUGAUUGGAUUACUGCUAUACCUAACAGCCAGCAGACCAGACAUCAUGUUUGCGGUCUACUUAUGUGCCAGAUUCCAAUCAGACCCAAAAGAGUCACAUCUCAAAGCGGUUAAAAGAAUAAUCAGCUAUAUCAAACGAACAAUUACACUUGGAUUAUUCUACCCUAAGGACAACUCAUUCACACUGACAGCAUACUGUGAUGCUGACUUUGGUGGAUGUAAGACUGUCAGAAAAAGCACUAGUGGAACAUGCUUUCUGUUGGGAAGCUCACUCGUAGCAUGGUCAUGUAAAAAGGAAAAUAGUAUUGCUUUAUCCACAACUAAAGCAGAAUAUAUGGCAGCAUCUAAUGCAUGCACUCAAAUUUUAUUGAUGAAACAAACAUUAUCCGACUACGAUAUAGCUUUAGAAACAGUAGCUCUUAAAUGUGACAACAAGAGUGCAAUUUGUUUAUCAAAAAACUCUGUGUUACAUUCAAGAUCUAAACACGUUGAUGUCAGACAUCAUUUUCUUAGAGAUCAUGUAGAAAAGAAAAAUAUCUGCCUAGAAUAUAUUUCUACUGAAGAUCAAAUGGCUAACAUCUUCACUAAACCCUUAGAUCAAGAAGUUCAUUCAAAAAUCAGAAGAUCUAUGGGUAUAUGUGAGCUUAGUGAAAUUUGAUUAGUUAUGAGUUAAUGCAUCCCAAGUUUUAGUAUUCUUCACUUGAAUAUCUUUAUACUUAUAACUUUGAUCAUAAUCACAUUAAAAUGAAUAUACGUAUGCAUGAAUUUACAAAUCUAAGAUUUACAUGACUAAGUAUAUACAUAUAAUUCAUCAUAUGCAUGCAUAACAUGAAGAGCUUAACUUUAAUGCAUGACUAUCGUAUAUACCAUGUUACUAUAAAUUGCAUGCAUGCUUACAAUUGAACGCUAUUAAUACAUUGCAUGCUACUAUAAAUAGUUGCUUACAUGGACAUGCUUAUCACUCACAUACAUGAUCUACAAGUGAACAAACGAUGUGUAUACAAAUGAAAAUUAUAAUCUUAUGAAAUGAUUAUGCCAAAAUAUGUCAUGUCUUCACUACUGUUUAAAUUGACUCAUCCAUAUGACAUGUCAUCACUUACAUGUAUGGAAAAAUAAUGAAAUUAAUCUUAUGUUGCACCCAUACUGCAUUAUGUCAUAUCUUGAAUAUAAUAUAUUGAGCAAAAUCAACAUCACAUGGUAUUGGUAAUCCAAACCUUACCUCAUGGCAUUGAGAAUCGUCGUCUACACAUUCUGCAACCUCGAUGCUGCAACUUAAUCUAGCAAACCUGUCGCAACUAGUCACUCACGACAGCUAAGAGCAUGGACUAUCGUGCAUAGUGCAAAGAAUGCGUUGAAGACCACCAAAAGGUAUGUUUUAAAUUAAAUAUUAUUCUGGUUACAAGCCACUAAAAUACAAGUCUUGCUAAGAUCCUAGCUAGCUCUUAGAUGAUAGUUUCAAAAUCUCAUUACUUGUUAAACCUAACAAGUCAUGUCAGUACAUGGGAAAUCAAAGAACUCUCUUUUGAGAAGGAGACUACAAGAUAAAACGAUUUUUCAUGGCUUAGUCAAACCAAAAACAUGAAAUUCUUGAAAACCUAAAAGCUUCAUCUAUAAAUACUAGGUUGUUCACUCUCAAACCAAAACCUUCCUUUCUCACCCAUUCCUACCAUCUUCAAAAUGGAUUCUUAUGAUCCAGACUGGAAAAAGGUGAUGGAUCUCAUCACAGGGAAAAAGCAAGUAAGUCAAUCCGAGAUAACUACUCACCUGUUUAAAGAGAUCGAUGAGGCAAAAUCAAGGAUUAAAAUGCUGGAAUCAAGUAUUAAAAACCAAGGAGUUCUGAUCGCAGACUUGCAAUAUCAAAUCGAGAUGUUAAAAGUUCCCACUGAGGAAGCUAACACCAUCAACCAUGGUUUUGAUUAGCUUGCUAUGCCUACUCGAUGCCAUCUGAUUUAGAUGUUCCUUUUUGGUUUGAUCGAUGGUGUUCAAACACCACUAUAACAUCUGUUAAAUAGAUGUUUCUACUUUGUUUAAGUCUGUUUUGUUUAAGGUCUAACCACAUAGACCUAAGCUUGCUUUAUUUUUAGUGAAAAGCUUCAUUGAAAAAUCAAUUUCUCACUAAGUAUUAAAGACUUAAAAGUAGAUAUGAUUCUCAAAUAGUUCAUUAUCAAGAAUCAUCAAAAAUCCAACCAUUAAAUAAAUAUGAUUAACUCCAUAUCUUCAAGAUCUUUUAGAGAUUCAAAUAUUUAAGGGUUGUAUGGAUAAACCAGAAGCUUCAAGGGCUUAAAUAUAAAUUAUGUUUGAAGUUUCUAAGUUUAAAAUGAUUCACUGAAACUUAAGGAUUAAAAUUAUAUUUUUCAGUGAAUAUAAAGUUUUGUGAAACUUCAAGGACUUAAACGUAAAUCGUUUAUGAAGUUUUUAAGUUUUAAAUAGAUUCACUGAAACUUAAGGAUUAAAAUUAUAUUUUUCAGUGAAUAUAAAGUUUUGUGAAACUUCAAGGACUUAAACGUAAAUCGUUUAUGAAGUUUUUAAGUUUUAAAUAGAUUCACUAAAACUUAAGGGUCAAAAUGAUAUCUUUACAGUGAAUAAAUAUUUAGUUAAAACUUCAGGAACUUAAAAUUAAUAUUUACAUGAAGUUUUCAAAUUGAAAAGUGCUUAGAAUUAGUUAAUACUUCCAAGGUUUAAAUGAAAUAUUUCAAGUAUUAAUUUAAGUAUUUAUUAUAACUUCAAAGGGCUUAAAUGAAAUUUUGUUUUAAGUGAAGUUUUACAACUAAGGCUUUAAGGACUGAAAUGAAAAUUUUAAAUCUUUUUAAACUUAGUGAAUAUUUACAUGGUUAUAUUUGUCACUAAGACAUAGAAUUUAAAAUUUUAAAUGCUCAAUUUCUUCUUAAAGCAAUUAGUGAAUAUUAUGGAUUUAUACAUAUCAUUCACUAAUAUCUUAUGGAUUAUAACAUUAUAAAAUCUUUAAUCCAUACAUGUUAAGAUCAUCUUCAUCCAUAACACACACAUGGAUUAUUAUUCAUUGCAUGAUCUUAACACAAGGCAAUUUAAAUUAUCAUAUCAUACUUGCCUUAUAAUGUAUAUCAAAAUUGGCUUCAAUCCAAUAUUUUAUCAAUGAACAUAAAUUACAUGUUAUUUUUCCUUUAUGAUUGACUAACACUCUUAUAAGCAAGACGACACAUUUGGUCAAUCACACAAAUCGAAUUUGUGAUCAAAGCUCAAUAAGGUAUGAAAUUUUAUUUUCUCCACAAAUUAGAUAUAUCCUAUCAUUAAGGGGGAGAUACUUCACAGGUAUCUAUUUUAACUUUGUCGAUACCUUAUUGUUUUAAGGGGGAGAAAUCAUGCAUGAUCCACUGCUUUUAAAUUGAAUAUUAUGGGUCAAUAAUUCAGAGGGAGCAUGCUCAUAAAGGUAAAAUAGAAUAUUGACUAGACAUGAGUUAAAACAUAUAUGCCAUCGACAAAGGGGGAGAAUGUAGAAUCAAAAUUGUCGACAUAGGAUUAUAUUUUAAUCAUGUCAAUUUAAACCCUAAUUACACUAUUAAUCAAUAGGGGUUAAAUAAGUCAAUCGAUAUUAAACCUAACUCCAGUUAAUUAAUUUAUCAUUUGAGCUAAGGGUUUAAAUCAAAGUUAAAAGUCAAAGAGGGAGAAUUGCAUUUUCACCUUGAAUAUUAUUAUUUGGAAUAAUUGCAUUUUUAUCUUGAAUAUUAUUAUUAUUAUCUUUUGACACUUUAUUCAAGGUAUAAUAUUCCAAGGGGACAAAACACUAUUCAAGUUUGAAUUUAUACAAAGAUAAGAUUCUCCAACAAACUCUAUCCAAGAAAAGCACUAUUAAAGAUAAGAUCAAAGACAAAGCUUGGAUUUAUGUGAGAAAUCAAGGAGCCAUCCAUUGAAGAUCCAAGGGUGGACAUUGAGUGGUCAAGGCUAUAAAUAGAAGGGUAAACCCCUCGUUUUCACUCACCACACUACAAGCAAACUCAAGAGCUUUCACUCCACACUUGCCCACACGUUUUUGCCUCCAAGCUUCCAAGCCUCAAGUGUCCUAGCUUUACAAAGCUUCAAAAGCUCUCCAACUUCUUCUUCUAAUAUUCUUGUUCAUCUUUACAAGUAAGAAGUGUUGUUUGCUUUAAUAUUCCACUCCUCUAAUCACCUCUUGUGUGUAUCCACUUUGGUUGAAAGGGUUGUCUCAAUAGUACCAAAGUGUGAGAGAAGGUUUGUGAGCUCAACCAUAAAGCUCUAGUUUGGUUUUAUAGAGUUUCUGGGAAAACUCUUAGGUCGAGUCUACCUUUAAAGAUUUCAGAGGUUUUUAAGAGUUCCUUGAUACUCUAAGGUACUAACUUACCCGUAAAAGUUAGAGGUUCUUAAGAGUGCCCUUGAUACUCUAAGGUGUGAGUCUACCCGUAAAAGACUGGUUCCUAAGCGAAGUAGCCUUAAAGCUUAGAGAGGUUUUUAAGAGUUCCUUGAUACUCUAAGGUACUAACUUACCCGCAAAAGUUAGAGGUUCUUAAUUAAGAGUGCCCUUGAUACUCUAAGGUGUGAGUCUACCCAUAAAAGACUGAUUCCUAAGCGAAGUAGCCUUAAAGCUUAGAGAGGUUCUUAAGAGUUUCCUUGAUACUCUAAGGUUUUGCCAUAAACUUUAGGCGAGUGAAUUCCGACAGUUGGUCGGGACUGGACUAGCCCUUGUUUGGGUGAACCAGUAUAAAUCUCUUGUUGUUGUUCUCUGUUAAUUAUAGUUUUAUCUUUUAUCUAAAAACAACACUUAAUUAAAAAGAUCCCUCUUCCAGUUAUCUGGUCAAAUACAAAGGUUGACUACUUUACGCAGAUCCCUCAUCCAGUUAUCUGAUCAACCAUCUGAGGUUAUAUUCAUUGCUUUAUUCAUAUAUAUGUUCAAGCAUUUACUUAUCAUAUAUAUAUCCAGUUAUCUGGUCAUUUACUUGUUUAUCAAUAUAUCCAGUUAUCUGGUCAUUUACUUGCUUAUCAAUAUAUCCAGUUAUCUGGUCAUUUACUUGCUUAUCAAUAUAUCCAGUUAUCUGGUCAUUUACUUGCUUAUCAAUAUAUCCAGUUAUCUGGUCAUUUACUCUAUCAAUAUAACUUGUGUUUAUAAUAUACCUUAGUAUUCAUAUACUAUAGUUGUUUAUAAAACACCAUCUGAAAAGUUGNNNNNNNNNNNNNNNNNNNNNNNNNNNNNNNNNNNNNNNNNNNNNNNNNNNNNNNNNNNNNNNNNNNNNNNNNNNNNNNNNNNNNNNNNNNNNNNNNNNNUGUAGUAAACUUAAAGAGCAAAAGGCAAGUCCAAUAUAUAAUAUUAUAAGAUAUAAUAUUAUAUUCUUUAAAAUUAUAUAAUAGUAUUGUAUUGCUAACAAUAUUAUACUAUUAUUAUUAUACAACCAUUUGUGUACUUAUGUGUGUGCAGGUAAUUUCGCUAUUAACUUGCAUUAAUCGAAAAGAGGCUAUUAUCCCCCCUUAUAGCCUCGGAUCUCGAUCCAACAGAAAGUUGCACCUCCAAGGCUCAAGUCGAAGCCUUACGCGCGCUGGAAGUCGAAACGGAGAAACUGGAAGUCGAAGCGGAGAAACUGGAAGUCGAUGCGCAGAAAGUCGAUCACUCGGAGCGAAGGAAGUAGGUGGGAAAUAAGUGAACCCCCCUCCGCUAUUUAUAGGGGAAAGUCGAAGACGAACC
rnacentral:lncRNA from 1 species